ACUUUAAUUGAAGAGUUUGAUCAUGGCUCAGAUUGAACGCUGGCGGCAGGCCUAACACAUGCAAGUCGAGCGGUAACAUUUCAAAAGCUUGCUUUUGAAGAUGACGAGCGGCGGACGGGUGAGUAAUGCCUGGGAAUUUGCCCAUUUGUG
rnacentral:rRNA from 1 species